rnacentral:rRNA from 1 species
GACGAACGCUGGCGGCGUGCUUAACACAUGCAAGUCGAGCGGAGCGGCGAACGGGUGAGUAACGCGUGAGUAACUGCCCCCCUCUCUGGGAUAACAGUUGGAAACGGCUGCUAAUACCUGAUAGUGGGGGAUGAAUCGCGUCCUAUCAGCUUGUUGGUUGGGUAGUGGCAUACCAAGGCGACGACGGGUAGCCGGCCUGAGAGGGCGACCGGCCCCAUGGGGCUGAGAGACGGACCAGACUCGUACGGGGGGCAGCAGUGGGGAGUAUUGCGCAAUGGGGGAAACCCUGAUGCAGCAACGCCGCGUUCGGGAUGACGGCCUUCGGGUUGUAAACCGCUUUCAGCCAUGACGCGGUAGUGGCAGAAGAAGCACCGGCUAACUACGUGCCAGCAGCCGCGGUAAUUC